GAUGAACGCUGGCGGCGUGCCUAAUACAUGCAAGUCGAGCGAACAGACGAGGAGCUUGCUCCUCUGACGUUAGCGGCGGACGGGUGAGUAACACGUGGAUAACCUACCUAUAAGACUGGGAUAACUUCGGGAAACCGGAGCUAAUACCGGAUAAUAUAUUGAACCGCAUGGUUCAAUAGUGAAAGACGGUUUUGCUGUCACUUAUAGAUGGAUCCGCGCCGCAUUAGCUAGUUGGUAAGGUAACGACUUACCAAGGCAACGAUGCGUAGCCGACCUGAGAGGGUGAUCGGCCACACUGGAACUGAGACACGGUCCAGAAUCCUACGGGAGGCAGCAGUAGGGAAUCUGCCGCAAUGGGCGAAAGCCUGACGGAGCAACGCCGCGUGAGUGAUGAAGGCCUUCGGAUCGUAAAACUCUGUUAUUAGGGAAGAACAAAUGUGUAGUAACUAUGCACGUCUUGACGGUACCUAAUCAGAAAGCCACGGCUAACUACGUG
rnacentral:rRNA from 1 species